rnacentral:ncRNA from 2 species
GUUCCAGAGAUGCGGUCGAAGGCCUGGCUGACCGCACGGCAACCCGAUGAUCGGCCGGGUGCCCCCAGGCGGAGAACGGGCCCGCGGUGUCCCCCGCGGGCAAGAUUCGAUG